rnacentral:rRNA from 1 species
AGUGAACGCUGGCGGUAGGCCUAACAUAUGCAAGUCGAACGGCAGCACAGUAAGAGCUUGCUCUUACGGGUGGCGAGUGGCGGACGGGUGAGGAAUACAUCGGAAUCUACUUUUUCGUGGGGGAUAACGUAGGGAAACUUACGCUAAUACCGCAUACGACCUACGGGUGAAAGCAGGGGAUCUUCGGACCUUGCGCGAUUGAAUGAGCCGAUGUCGGAUUAGCUAGUUGGCGGGGUAAAGGCCCACCAAGGCGACGAUCCGUAGCUGGUCUGAGAGGAUGAUCAGCCACACUGGAACUGAGACACGGUCCAGACUCCUACGGGAGGCAGCAGUGGGGAAUAUUGGACAAUGGGCGCAAGCCUGAUCCAGCCAUACCGCGUGGGUGAAGAAGGCCUUCGGGUUGUAAAGCCCUUUUGUCGGGAAAGAAAAGCAGCAGGUUAAUACCCCGCUGUUCUGACGGUACCCAAAGAAUAAGCACCGGCUAACUUCGUG